rnacentral:rRNA from 1 species
UCCGAAAGGAAUGAUAGCUAUCCCGAAACCUGUUCGUAGUUCGGAUUGAGGGCUGUAACUCGCCCUCAUGAAGCUGGAUUAGGUAGUAAUCGCGUUUCAACAUAGCACGGUGAAUAUGCCCCUGCUCCUUGCACACACCGUCCGUCAAACCAUCUUAGUUGGGGGUGGGUGAGGCUGCGCUUUAUGGCGUAUUCGAGCCUGUCUUUAACAAGGAGGGUUAAGUCGUAACAAGGUAACC